GAUGAACGCUGGCGGCGUGCCUAAUACAUGCAAGUCGAGCGAACAGACGAGGAGCUUGCUCCUCUGACGUUAGCGGCGGACGGGUGAGUAACACGUGGAUAACCUACCUAUAAGACUGGGAUAACUUCGGGAAACCGGAGCUAAUACCGGAUAAUAUAUUGAACCGCAUGGUUCAAUAGUGAAAGACGGUUUUGCUGUCACUUAUAGAUGGAUCCGCGCCGCAUUAGCUAGUUGGUAAGGAAACGGCUUACCAAGGCAACGAUGCGUAGCCGACCUGAGAGGGUGAUCGGCCACACUGGAACUGAGACACGGUCCAGACUCCUACGGGAGGCAGCAGUAGGGAAUCUUCCGCAAUGGGCGAAAGCCUGACGGAGCAACGCCGCGUGAGUGAUGAAGGUCUUCGGAUCGUAAAACUCUGUUAUUAGGGAAGAACAAAUGUGUAAGUAACUAUGCACGUCUUGACGGUACCUAAUCAGAAAGCCACGGCUAACUACGUG
rnacentral:rRNA from 1 species